CACGUAGGCACCAAGCGUUGUCCGGAUUUAUUGGGCGUAAAGAGCUCGUAGGCGGUCUGUCGCGUCGGCUGUGAAAACUCGGGGCUCAACUCCGAGCUUGCAGUCGAUACGGGCAGGCUAGAGUUCGGCAGGGGAGACUGGAAUUCCUGGUGUAGCGGUGAAAUGCGCAGAUAUCAGGAGGAACACCGGUGGCGAAGGCGGGUCUCUGGGCCGAUACUGACGCUGAGGAGCGAAAGCGUGGGGAGCGAACAGG
rnacentral:rRNA from 1 species